CGAUUUGUUAACUCAAAGCAGAAAACCAGCAGGAAUGUUCCUGAACCUUCAUUCAAGGCUUUCGCAUGUGUUUCAGGAAAUAAAUUUAUUAUACGCAUUCUUAAUCUUCAGCAACUCAAUUAUUGGAAAAUAUAUUAACCCUUACUGCAUCGACACAGUAUUAACAUUGCAGUUUUCAUGUUAAAUCCGUGAUUUAAGGGAUAUAAGACAAAUCUACUGUUGUCAUUUAUUAAAAUACAAUAAAAUUAUUAUUUAUAGCUAGUAAAUUAUUAUCCUUCUUUUCUUCAGACAAUCUUUUUGCAGACAAGAUUAUAGAAUUUUUCAUUAAUCAAAAUCGUUCAUAAUCUAAAACUUCAAAAUGCUUAUAUGUCUUUCUCAAAAUAGGAAAGUUCAAUCCAUUCCUAAUCUCUAUUAUCAACACAAUGUAUUCCCGAAAUUCAUAAUUAUGAGAAUCACUUCGGCUAUCAAUUAGUCAAGUAACAAAUGUCCAAAUAAAUACCACUCACCGAUUUGCUAGAUCUUACAUAAAGUAUCGUGGAAAGUAGUUACCCGAAGGCAGAUCUAGCAGAAACUCGCUUGUAACCGAUCGAAAUUCAAAAAUCUAAAUCCUUAGCGUUACGACGGAGCGCUUCCACGUAGAACGCAAUACUCGAUGCAUUUUCUGCCUCCGCUGCAACGUGUCGCGAUUAUACCGGGUGCGCGAGAAGAACUCGCUGCUGCCGCUUAUGAAAAAGCGCCAUACCGGUUCUCACGCGCCUCUAUGCUACCACGUUAUUAUGUAUCCUUUCUAGCACGAAAAUGUUACGUUGCGAGGCGAUCUUUUUCUCUUAAGCAUAUUGAAAUGAACAGGAUAUUUCUUCUUAUUGCUACUGUCUGUAGAUUCUAAUAGAAGACUUCUCUAACUGUUUUAUCUUAUACAAUAUUGCAAAUUUGAUUGCAAAACUAUCAAACUUGUCAGAAUAAAAUGCAUUAUUUUUAAAAGAAUCUUUAAAAUGUCUCGAGAUGUUGUUUCAAGUUGAGAAAAAAAUUCAGAUGCAUUUUGCAUAUAUUCUCUGUAUUCUCUUUGACUAAUAAAAACCAACUUGUGUAUUGUAUAUUUGUGUGUGUGUGUGUGUGUGUGUGUGUGUGUGUGUGUGUGUGUGUGUGUAUGUGUGUGUGUGUGGGGGGGGUAGUGAUAUAAUCUUUAUUCACGCACUAUGAACUAUCUUGCGACACGCAGCAUAUAGACAUGUUAGAUACGUAAGAAAAUCGACGUCAAGCGCAAAAUGAAUUCGCAAACUGUCAUUAUCAAUGCCGACCCGUCUCGUCAUCUUUGCUCUCGCAUUGUUCUUAGUCUUAGCGAAUGGACCAGCCCUUCUUCGAACCGACUUGAGAAAAGAGACGGAGAAGGGACAAAGAAGAUAAAGAGUGGGCGAGUAUAUAUGCACAAGAGAGAGAAAGAGGAAGAACCACAGAGAAAGAGAGAGAAAAGGAAUAGAGAUAAAAGGAGAGAAAUGCAGUGGAAGAGAGGAGGGACGAUGCAGAGAGAAGAGAGGAUGAUAUUGAAAGGAGAAGGGGGAGUCAGAAGGGAAAACGGAGUCUGCGCCAUGCCACGAAUAUUCGCGGUUGUGGUCGACGAAAGAUUCACGAUCAAGACGCGAUUGCGACGCGAGAUCGAACUCGCAGGAUUCCCUAACUCGCCUGAAUUAACAAAUCCGCCUUUGGGAUGCCAUGCUUGCUGGAACACCAAACUUGUUGAGUCGCGUUUCUCAAGAUUUGGCUUUUUGAGUGCCGCGUUUUAACUCGAAGGUUUUAGCACCAUGUUUUAUGGCAUCGCAUUUCGGAUCACCACGCGUCACCCAGAUGUGUUUCGGCAUAGUGUAGUUUGGAGCGUUACCGUUUUACAACAGUGCCUUUUCGAAUGUAUUUUUGGAAUGUUAUAAUGCCGAAUCUUCGAGAACGACACGUCUACGUGAAAACAGUUUCUUCUCGGUCAUCCUAGUUUUAACUGCCGCACGAGGCUGCAGGUCGCUGGAAGAUGAUAAAUGACUUGGCGAGCGAAUCCAAUAACGUGCCGGUUUCCAGGGGAGUUACAUCGUCGGAGCUCAGGCGAAAAUUUCGCACAAAGCAGAUUCGAAGGUGAACGACUGAAAAAAAGCGUGACAGGAGCAUCGAACGUGAACCGGACCCAUCGUCCAUGCGCGCUAACUAUCCUCCAAAAUAAAUAACGUCCUUCGGCAGGAGCGAUUGAGCGGCUGCCAGAACCAGUCGAGACAUGCGACAUUCCAGAAAAUUACUGAUCCGGACUCCUAAACGAAUCAUACAGUGUUCACGCGAAAAUAUUUUAAUUGAAUCGACCGUGUUUAUUGAUAAUACUAUUACCAGUCUCACAAUUGUUGAAAAUUAUAAUAUUAUAUCAAAUUUCAGAAUUAUAAUUAUCGAUAUUUAUAAUCGCCAGAUAAAAUCAUCAAUUUAAAGAAAACAUUAUUUCCGUUACUGAUUUUCAUCAGCUGUCAGAAGAUGAUGCGACUAUUUUGGCUACUGAUGAUUUUCCAAUGAAAUUUAUAAUUCGCGUCUUAUUUUACAAGAACGACUAAUCGACUAUACACGUCGACAUUAUAUACACAUAUAUAUAUUUAUAUUGGACAGAGAGAGAGAGAGAGAGAGAGAGAGAGAGAGGUUAUGUUGAACCUAUCGCGAAAAUAAUAGUCUUAGCGAAAAAAUAUUUAUAAUCUGACACUUUGAAAUAUGAAGUACACAUCAUAUAAUGAUAAUAACGAAUUCUUCAUAUCAAACGUGGAUUAUUUUGCUCUUGUGAGGAAAUAAUCUUGCUUUUUUCUUAAUAAAUAAUAACAAAACCACA